rnacentral:rRNA from 1 species
GACAGAGGGUGCAAAUGUUGUUCGGAAUUACUGGGCGUAAAGCGCGUGUAGGCGGCAGGGCAUGUCGGAUGUGAAAUCCCGUGGCUCAACCACGGAAGUGCACCCGAAACUGCCCAGCUUGAGUCUCGGAGAGGAAGGCGGAAUGCUUGGUGUAGAGGUGAAAUUCGUAGAUAUCAAGCGGAACACCGGUGGCGAAGGCGGCCUUCUGGACGAUGACUGACGCUGAGACGCGAAAGCGUGGGGAGCAAACAGG